rnacentral:rRNA from 1 species
AUGACGCUGCGGCAACAUUCCGAUGAUCUGGUAGCUCACGGGAAUACCGGUGCAAAAGGAAGGGGGUGCGAUUGUGUCAUGCAAGAAGAUGGGAUUAUCCCGGUUACCGGGUUCCCACGGGUCGACGGCGUGGCAACGAAGUGGAACAACUACCGUUCACGGGCGGAUACAACAUCCAAACAUGCAUCUCAUACAACUCAUGCACUCGUCCACAGGCGUUCGUUCUCGGCGGUUAUACCUUUGAAGUGUGCGUUUCGAAGAGGACCAGUUCGUAGAGGAAGUAGUCGUUCCCGAGCCAUUGAGGAAAGUAGUGGUACACAACGACGGUAG